GAUGAACGCUAGCGGCAGGCUUAAUACAUGCAAGUCGUGGGGCAGCAUGAGUAGCAAUACUUGAUGGCGACCGGCAAACGGGUGAGGAACACGUACACAACCUUCCUUCAAGCGGGGAAUAGCCCAGAGAAAUUUGGAUUAAUACCCCAUAAUAUAUUUGAUAAGGCAUCUUAUUAAUAUUAAAGCUUCGGCACUUGAUGAUGGGUGUGCGGCUGAUUAGAUAGUUGGCGGGUAACGGCCCACCAAGUCUACGAUCAGUAGCUGAUGUGAGAGCAUGAUCAGCCACACGGGCACUGAGACACGGGCCCGACUCCUACGGGAGGCAGCAGUAAGGAAUAUUGGACAAUGGACGAAAGUCUGAUCCAGCCAUGCCGCGUGAAGGAUUAAGGUCCUCUGGAUUGUAAACUUCUUUAUAUGGGACGAAAAAGGGCAUUCUUGUUCACUUGACGGUACCAUAUGAAUAAG
rnacentral:rRNA from 1 species